GCGCGCGCGCGCGCGGACUACGAGCGCGGGAAGCUCGCGGGCGCGCGGCCGGGUCCUUGCACCAGUGAACAGCUGUGACUUGGUCAGUGGGUUUGAAAGCAGUUACUGCAUUGUAAAGUGUGUGUAUGUUUUAAGAUGAGCACUUUGAUAUACCGUUUCUCCUAAAGGACUCCAUUUCACCGGAUAAUGCCAAGUGAAAAUUCAUGUUAUGGUUGUACAAACAAGAGCAUCUUGAAAAUUGUGGAGCUGCAUACAAGCAAAUGUCAGAUGACAGCUUCUCAUUCCUCAACACAGCUACCACGUGUCAUUGAUGUUGUCUGCUAUUGAAAGAAUGCAAACAAAAUGUGUGCAGAAAAAAAACUGCACAUGGACACAUCCAGGUUCCUGGCACACCUGCCUCUUCUGUUGCCUUCAGUGGAGGAAUCAGUUAUUACUCUGAAAAGAGGAACUGAGGAGGAUGUCUGCAUUUGAGUGUCUGCAGGGUGUCUACAUUUGAGUAAGAUGGUGUUUCCUCAUAUGUGCAUUCUCUUUUUCAGUCUCCAGCUGUUUCAUAUCAUACCCAGUGUAUACACCAGCCAUCUUCCAGCCCUGGUCCUACUGCUGCAGCAGGCAGACCUCAGUCUCUGUAGACUCUGGAGAGUAUCUAGCCUCUCUACUUUUCCUUCUUACUUUUUGUCCAUCAGUCAUCUCUUUAUUCCUGCUUGUUAUCUGCCGAUCUACCCAUACAUUCUCUCUAAUUGUAGUCCCUUCCUAACAUUCUCCUAUUCUUACAUUCCUAUACUUGCUUGCAAAUGGCUGGAGAAUCCUAAUGGUAUAAGUGUGAUGAAUUUACCAGUCAAAAAUAAUGUUAAAAUUAAGUUUAAAAAAAAAAAUAAAUAAGAAAUUAAAGUGAAGAGCAUAUGUUAUGCUCCCCACUUGCUGCCACCAUCUUUUGUAUGCAGGAGUUCACAUUUGGUUCUGUUUUCCUUCCCUUCUACAUUUACAUUUCCUCCACGCACACACAUAUGUUUUCCUUUCUCCAAUCAAUGGUAAGACUUAGCUGCUUAAAUAAAACCACUAGUCUAUUUGUGGGUGUGUAGAAGUAACAUUCAAAAAGAAAAUACCAUCAAUUUUAUCUAUGUAU
rnacentral:lncRNA from 1 species